UUCGCUUGGUGCAGGUCGGGAACUGAUUGGCUGACACCGCCACGUGGCUUGCCAUGUUUGGCUUGUGAGCAGGGAUCGGAUCCCGCCUUGCAUCAACUGAAUCGGAGCUCGAGGUGAAAAGAAAGAAAGGAAAAGGAUCUAACUUUCAGAUCUGACACAAUCUUGUUUUAAGUUUUUUUUUGUUUGAAAAGUUGCGUAAGUUGUUUGAUUCGGUAUAUGGUUUUCUCCAAAUCCAGAAACUUUAGUUCUUUCUUCAAAGAUUGAUUGAAUCCUUUAUUUGAUUUUGAAGGCUAAGAAUAAUGUACAUGUUCUGAAUUUUCAGGAUCUAGGGUUUUGUUUGGUAGCUAUAGAUCUUGUCUUCGAAUUCGCUUCAUUGGCUAAUUGAAUUAGGGUUUUAAUAGAAUCUUCAAGGUAGAGAUUCUGAUGGAAAACUCUGUAAAUAUCGAAACUUUAUGCUUUAUGGGGUUUUGAGUAUUUUUUAGGGUUUUAUGUUGGUUUUACAUUGGCCUAAAAAUGGUGAUGAUGAGAUUCAAUAUGUUCAAUUAAGUUCCUUUACAGGUAAAUAUGUAAUUAGAUCUCUGAGUUUACCUUGAUCUUGUGAAUUAACUGAUUUCUUGACUUAGUUUCGUGUUCAGAUUUCUUGAGUUACCAAGCAAGCGAGAUUGUGGCUAUAGGCUUUUCGAUAUGUGUUUUUUUUCCAUUUCAGUUAGGUUCUGCGGAUGCAUUUAUUGUGUCUGGAUUGCUGGUGAAACCAUCAUUCCAAAAAUGGUGUUGCAGUUUGGCAACGACUUGCUAAAUGCCUCUAAGAAUGGGAUCCUUCUCCCUACAACACACACACAGUCAGUUUCCAAGCAUGGAAGAUAGCUUGAGAUUGUUAGGUAUACUUAAAGGUACAGAUGAACCAAGCAAUCUUUCCUAUGCUUCAGUAAUUGAUGGAGUUGAUCUUGAGGCUUAUCUAGCACGAAAGAAGGUAUAUUUCCUUUCUGGAUGCUCAGUUCUUUGGCAUUUGUACAUCCUUCUACCACAUUUCUGUAGAGAUUUUUCUUUAAAUCUACCAAUCAUAGUAGUCGUAAACUUUUGUAUUGACAGUUAAAGUCUGCUGUUUUGCAUUGGCAAUUUUUCUUUAAUUUCCACUGUGUUCAAGACUCUAGAAUCUCUGGUUCUUAUGUGGCAGACAAGGUUGGUUUUCUGCUUUGCUCGUUUGCUAUAUUUGCAGUUGUCUCAGUGAUGCUUACUAUUGAAGUUUUUACCAUUGGAAAAUAAGUUAACGCUCAAAACCCAAACGUUCUUCUCUACCUUUUUAUUUUCCGAAAAAUAUUCUUCUCUACUAAACUAGCAUUUUCGUUUAUUCUUCAGCUAUGACAUUGCUUUGGUCAUAACACAGUUGCAUUUAUUUUAAGCAUCUUCUUCCAUGGAUAUACAGCAUGAAGGUGAAUCAUAGUCAUUAAGAACCAAAAAACCAACAGCUGCUUAAUACAUUGCAUAACAUUACCAAGUCCCGAGGAACAGCUCUUCAACAGUUAUUACAGUUAUAAGGUCGCUUACAACUUGUUACAGCCCAGAUCAAUAAAGCUGCAGGAAUCAGAGUCAAACAACAGGUCAUGAUCAAGAGAUUGAUGAAAGUGAGGAUGAGGAAGAAGAUGUAGUAAGAGCAUUUCUAUAAUGAGAAUGAUAAUGAAUCUGCAGAUACGUUUAUUACCAUUUUGUUAGUUAGUUGUUAAUUUCUUUUCUCAUUUUUAGAUAUAUGAAUGAAUAUAGGCUUUGUUUCUUAGUCCAUGAACUCAUAGACUACCGUCAACUCAACUGUAACCAACAUAAAUUUCUAUAGCUUCUUGCCUA